rnacentral:rRNA from 1 species
GACGAACGCUGGCGGCGUGCUUAACACAUGCAAGUCGAACGGAAAGGCCCUGCUUUUGUGGGGUGCUCGAGUGGCGAACGGGUGAGUAACACGUGAGUAACCUGCCCUUGACUUUGGGAUAACUUCAGGAAACUGGGGCUAAUACCGGAUAGGAGCUCCUGCUGCAUGGUGGGGGUUGGAAAGUUUCGGCGGUUGGGGAUGGACUCGCGGCUUAUCAGCUUGUUGGUGGGGUAGUGGCUUACCAAGGCUUUGACGGGUAGCCGGCCUGAGAGGGUGACCGGCCACAUUGGGACUGAGAUACGGCCCAGACUCCUACGGGAGGCAGCAGUGGGGAAUAUUGCACAAUGGGCGGAAGCCUGAUGCAGCAACGCCGCGUGCGGGAUGACGGCCUUCGGGUUGUAAACCGCUUUCGCCUGUGACGAAGCGUGAGUGACGGUAAUGGGUAAAGAAGCACCGGCUAACUACGUGCCAGCAGCCGCGGUGAUACGUAGGGUGCGAGCGUUGUCCGGAUUUAUUGGGCGUAAAGGGCUCGUAGGUGGUUGAUCGCGUCGGAAGUGUAAUCUUGGGGCUUAACCCUGAGCGUGCUUUCGAUACGGGUUGACUUGAGGAAGGUAGGGGAGAAUGGAAUUCCUGGUGGAGCGGUGGAAUGCGCAGAUAUCAGGAGGAACACCAGUGGCGAAGGCGGUUCUCUGGGCCUUUCCUGACGCUGAGGAGCGAAAGCGUGGGGAGCGAACAGGCCUAGAUACCCUGGUAGUCCACGCUGUAAACGGUGGGUACUAGGUGUGGGGUCCAUUCCACGGGUUCCGUGCCGUAGCUAACGCUUUAAGUACCCCGCCUGGGGAGUACGGCCGCAAGGCUAAAACUCAAAGGAAUUGACGGGGCCCCGCACAAGCGGCGGAGCAUGCGGAUUAAUUCGAUGCAACGCGUAGAACCUUACCUGGGUUUGACAUGGAUCGGGAGUGCUCAGAGAUGGGUGUGCCUCUUUUGGGGUCGGUUCACAGGUGGUGCAUGGCUGUCGUCAGCUCGUGUCGUGAGAUGUUGGGUUAAGUCCCGCAACGAGCGCAACCCUUGUUCACUGUUGCCAGCACGUUAUGGUGGGGACUCAGUGGAGACCGCCGGGGUCAACUCGGAGGAAGGUGGGGAUGACGUCAAGUCAUCAUGCCCCUUAUGUCCAGGGCUUCACGCAUGCUACAAUGGCUGGUACAGAGAGUGGCGAGCCUGUGAGGGUGAGCGAAUCUCGGAAAGCCGGUCUCAGUUCGGAUUGGGGUCUGCAACUCGACCUCAUGAAGUCGGAGUCGCUAGUAAUCGCCGAUCAGCAAUGGCUGCGGUGAUACCGUCCCCGGGCU